rnacentral:rRNA from 1 species
AGGAAGAGCUUGCUCUUCCAAAGUUAGUGGCGGACGGGUGAGUAACACGUGGGCAACCUGCCUGUAAGUUGGGGAUAACUCCGGGAAACCGGGGCUAAUACCGAAUGAUAAAGUGUGGCGCAUGCCACGCUUUUGAAAGAUGGUUUCGGCUAUCGCUUACAGAUGGGCCCGCGGUGCAUUAGCUAGUUGGUAGGGUAAUGGCCUACCAAGGCAACGAUGCAUAGCCGACCUGAGAGGGUGAUCGGCCACACUGGGACUGAGACACGGCCCAGACUCCUACGGGAGGCAGCAGUAGGGAAUCUUCCGCAAUGGACGAAAGUCUGACGGAGCAACGCCGCGUGUAUGAAGAAGGUUUUCGGAUCGUAAAGUACUGUUGUUAGAGAAGAACAAGGAUAAGAGUAACUGCUUGUCCCUUGACGGUAUCUAACCAGAAAGCCACGGCUAACUACGUGCCAGCAGCCGCGGUA